rnacentral:rRNA from 1 species
AUUGAACGCUGGCGGAAUGCUUUACACAUGCAAGUCGAACGGCAGCACGGGGGCAACCCUGGUGGCGAGUGGCGAACGGGUGAGUAAUACAUCGGAACGUGCCCAGUCGUGGGGGAUAACGUAGCGAAAGCUACGCUAAUACCGCAUACGAUCUACGGAUGAAAGCGGGGGAUCGCAAGACCUCGCGCGAUUGGAGCGGCCGAUGGCAGAUUAGGUAGUUGGUGGGGUAAAGGCUCACCAAGCCUUCGAUCUGUAGCUGGUCUGAGAGGACGACCAGCCACACUGGGACUGAGACACGGCCCAGACUCCUACGGGAGGCAGCAGUAAGGAAUAUUGGUCAAUGGAGGGAACUCUGAACCAGCCAUCCCGCGUGAAGGAUGAAGGGGCUCUGCCUUGUAAACUUCUUUUGCAUGGGACGAAAAAACUUAAUUUAUUAAGGACUGACGGUACCAUGAGAAUAAGCACCGGCUAACUCCGUGCCAGCAGCCGCGGU